AUUGAACGCUGGCGGCAGGCCUAACACAUGCAAGUCGGACGGUAGCACAGAGGAGCUUGCUCCUCGGGUGACGAGUGGCGUACGGGUGAGUAAUGUCUGGGGAUCUGCCCGAUAGAGGGGGAUAACCACUGGAAACGGUGGCUAAUACCGCAUAACGUCGCAAGACCAAAGAGGGGGACCUUCGGGCCUCUCACUAUCGGGUGAACCCAGAUGGGAUUAGCUAGUAGGCGGGGUAACGGCCCACCUAGGCGACGAUCCCUAGCUGGUCUGAGAGGAUGACCAGCCACACUGGAACUGAGACACGGUCCAGACUCCUACGGGAGGCAGCAGUGGGGAAUAUUGCACAAUGGGCGCAAGCCUGAUGCAGCCAUGCCGCGUGUAUGAAGAAGGCCUUCGGGUUGUAAAGUACUUUCAGCGGGGAGGAAGGCGAUGUGGUUAAUAACCGCAUUGAUUGACGUUACCCGCAGAAGGAGCACCGGCUAACUCCGUGCCAGCAGCCGCCGUAA
rnacentral:rRNA from 1 species